GACGAACCGAGCGAACGUUAUUCGGAAUCACUGGGCUUAAAGGGUGCGUAGGCGGGCCCGCGAGUCAGGGGUGAAAUCCCACGGCCCAACCGUGGAAGUGCCUCUGAUACCGCGGGCCUAGAGGGGGACAGGGGCAUGCGGAACUUCCGGGUGGAGCGGUGAAAUGCGUAGAUAUCGGAAGGAACACCGGUGGCGAAAGCGGCGUGCUGGAUCCCUUCUGACGCUGAGGCACGAAAGCCAGGGGAGCAAACGGG
rnacentral:rRNA from 1 species